rnacentral:sRNA from 12 species
GGUUGCAACACCCCCGUGGGUUGGGUGAAGGCUCGGUGAGCUGACACAGUGAAUCCACUGCAGCC